rnacentral:ribozyme from 1 species
GAGGGUUAUCUUCUGAGGUGGAGAAGAUCUGGAGGAGCUUAGCCUUUGCAAACAGCAAAAAUUUACAACCGAUUAUCAGUUUCUUGUUGCGACAGAUGUUGUCGUCUGAAAAGCUGCAUUGGUACUGCCAUGGCAUUGUUCUCAUUCUCUUCCAUCUCGAUUCUU